CGGAGGGUGCAAGCGUUAUCCGGAUUCACUGGGUUUAAAGGGUGUGUAGGCGGGUCUGUAAGUCAGUGGUGAAAUCUCCGAGCUCAACUUGGAAACUGCCAUUGAUACUAUAGGUCUUGAAUUUUGUUGAGGUAGGCGGAAUAUGUCAUGUAGCGGUGAAAUGCUUAGAUAUGACAUAGAACACCGAUUGCGAAGGCAGCUUACUAAGCAAAUAUUGACGCUGAGGCACGAAAGCGUGGGGAUCAAACAGGAUUAGAUACCCUGGUAGUCCACGCCCUAAACGAUGAUUACUCGACAUACGCGAUACACAGUGUGUGUCUGAGCGAAAGCAUUAAGUAAUCCACCCGGGAAGUACGACCGCAAGGUUG
rnacentral:rRNA from 1 species